AAGGGCGACACCUACGCUAAACUAUUUACCUGGUCGGUAAGAAAGGAAAUGCUCUUCCGGUAUGUCCGUAAUAUGUACGAGCAAUCGCGCCGGUGACAACGCGGUUAUUAAUUUUUAAACGUUCUUUGUGUUUUUUUUUUCUUUUUUUUUAAUUUUAUUUUAACGAGG